AUAAGCAUAUCAAUAAGCGGAGGAAAAGAAACUAACAAGGAUUCCCCUAGUAACUGCGAGUGAAGCGGGAAAAGCUCAAAUUUAAAAUCUGGCAGUCUUUGACUGUCCGAGUUGUAAUCUAGAGAAGUAUUAUCCGCGCUGGACCGUGUACAAGUCUCCUGGAAUGGAGCGUCAUAGAGGGUGAGAAUCCCGUCUUUGACACGGACUGCCAGGGCUUUGUGAUGUGCUCUCAAAGAGUCGAGUUGUUUGGGAAUGCAGCUCAAAAUGGGUGGUAAAUUCCAUCUAAAGCUAAAUAUUGGCGAGAGACCGAUAGCGAACAAGUACCGUGAGGGAAAGAUGAAAAGAACUUUGGAAAGAGAGUUAAACAGUACGUGAAAUUGCUGAAAGGGAAACGCUUGAAGUCAGUCACGUUGGCCAGGGAUCAACCUUGCUUUUUUGCUUGGCUUACUUUCUGGUCGAUGGGUCAGCAUCAAUUUUGACUGGUGGAAAAAGUUCAAGGGAAUGUGGCAUCUUCGGAUGUGUUAUAGCCUUUGUUCACAUACAUCAGUUGGGAUUGAGGAACUCAGCACGCCGCAAGGCCGGGUUUUUAACCACGUACGUGCUUAGGAUGCUGGCAUAAUGGCUUUAAUCGACCCGUCUUGAAACACGGACCAAGGAGUCUAACAUGCCUGCGAGUGUUUGGGUGAAAAACCCGAGCGCAUAAUGAAAGUGAAAGUUGAGAUCCCUGUCGUGGGGAGCAUUGACGCCCGGAUCUGACCUUUUGUGACGAUUCUGCGGUAGAGCAUGCAUGUUGGGACCCGAAAGAUGGUGAACUAUGCCUGAAUAGGGUGAAGCCAGAGGAAACUCUGGUGGAGGCUCGUAGCGAUUCUGACGUGCAAAUCGAUCGUCAAAUUUGGGUAUAGGGGCGAAAGACUAAUCGAACCA
rnacentral:rRNA from 1 species